rnacentral:rRNA from 1 species
UGCUUCCUUGAGACUUAGCGGCGGACGGGUGAGUAACACGUAGGCAACCUGCCCUUUAGCCUGGGAUAACUACCGGAAACGGUAGCUAAUACCGGAUACUUUCUUUUUCUGCAUGGGAGAAGAACGAAAGACGGAGCAAUCUGUCACUGAAGGAUGGGCCUGCGGCGCAUUAGCUAGUUGGUGGGGUAACGGCUCACCAAGGCGACGAUGCGUAGCCGACCUGAGAGGGUGAUCGGCCACACUGGGACUGAGACACGGCCCAGACUCCUACGGGAGGCAGCAGUAGGGAAUCUUCCGCAAUGGGCGAAAGCCUGACGGAGCAACGCCGCGUGAGUGAUGAAGGUUUUCGGAUCGUAAAGCUCUGUUGCCAGGGAAGAACGUCUUGGAGAGUAACUGCUCCGAGAGUGACGGUACCUGAGAAGAAAGCCCCGGCUAACUACGUGCCAGCAGCCGCGGUAAUACGUAGGGGGCAAGCGUUGUCCGGAAUUAUUGGGCGUAAAGCGCGCGCAGGCGGCCGUUUAAGUCCGGUGUUUAAUCCCGAAGCUCAACUUCGGGUCGCACUGGAAACUGGAGGGCUUGAGUGCAGAAGAGGAGAGUGGAAUUCCACGUGUAGCGGUGAAAUGCGUAGAGAUGUGGAGGAACACCAGUGGCGAAGGCGACUCUCUGGGCUGUAACUGACGCUGAGGCGCG